rnacentral:rRNA from 1 species
UACGUAGGGUGCAAGCGUUGUCCGGAAUUAUUGGGCGUAAAGAGCUCGUAGGCGGUUUGUCGCGUCUGCUGUGAAAACUCAGGGCUUAACCCUGAGCCUGCAGUGGGUACGGGCAGACUAGAGUGUGGUAGGGGAGAUCGGAAUUCCUGGUGUAGCGGUGGAAUGCGCAGAUAUCAGGAGGAACACCGGUGGCGAAGGCGGCUACCUGGACCGGUACUGACGCUGAGACACGAAAGCGUGGGGAGCAAACAGG